rnacentral:snRNA from 1 species
AGCUUUGUGCAGUGGUGGUAUCAUAGCCAAUGAGGUUUAUCCGAGGCACGAUUAUUGCUAAUAGAAG